rnacentral:rRNA from 1 species
UUCUAUGGAGAGUUUGAUCCUGGCUCAGGACGAACGCUGGCGGCGUGCUUAACACAUGCAAGUCGAGCGAUGAAGUUUCUUCGGAAAUGGAUUAGCGGCGAACGGGUGAGGAACACGUGAAGAAUCUGCCCUCCACUUUGGGAUAAC